ACACGUGAGUUACCUGCCCCUGACUCUGGGAUAACUACCGGAAACGUGGCUAAUACCGGAUAUGAGGCGCCUGGGCAUCUGGGCGCCUGGAAAGUUUUUCGGUCAGGGAUGGGCUCGCGGCCUAUCAGCUUGUUGGUGGGGUGAUGGCCUACCAAGGCGACGACGGGUAGCCGGCCUGAGAGGGCGACCGGCCACACUGGGACUGAGACACGGCCCAGACUCCUACGGGAGGCAGCAGUGGGGAAUAUUGCACAAUGGGCGCAACUGAAUGCAGCGACGCCGCGUGCGGGAUGACGGCCUUCGGGUUGUAAACCGCUUUCAGCAGGGAAGAAGCGAAAGUGACGGUACCUGCAGAAGAAGCGCCGGCUAACUACGUGCCAGCAGCCGCGGUAAUACGUAGGGCGCAACGUUGUCCGGAAUUAUUGGGCGUAAAGAGCUCGUAGGCGGUUUGUCGCGUCUGCUGUGAAAUCCUCAGGCUCAACCUGGGGCUUGCAGUGGGUACGGGCAGACUAGAGUGCGGUAGGGGUGACUGGAAUUCCUGGUGUAGCGGUGGAAUGCGCAGAUAUCAGGAGGAACACCGAUGGCGAAGGCAGGUCACUGGGCCGCAACUGACGCUGAGGAGCGAAAGCAUGGGGAGCGAACAGGAUUAGAUACCCUGGUAGUCCAUGCCGUAAACGUUGGGCACUAGGUGUGGGGUCCAUUCCACGGAUUCCGUGCCGCAGCAAACGCAUUAAGUGCCCCGCCUGGGGAGUACGGCCGCAAGGCUAAAACUCAAAGAAAUUGACGGGGGCCCGCACAAGCGCGCGGAGCAUGCGGAUUAAUUCGAUGCAACGCGAAGAACCUUACCAAGGCUUAACAUACACCGGAAAAGUGCAGAGAUGUGCUCCCCGUAAGGUCGGUGUACAGGUGGUGCAUGGUUGUCGUCAGCUCGUGUCGUGAGAUGUUGGGUUAAGUCCCGCAACGAGCGCAACCCUCGUCCCAUGUUGCCAGCGGGUUAUGCCGGGGACUCAUGGGAGACUGCCGGGGUCAACUCGGAGGAAGGUGGGGAUGACGUCAAAUCAAUCAUGCCCCUUAUGUCUUGGGCUUCACGCAUGCUACAAUGGCCGGUACAAAGGGCUGCGAUACCGUGAGGUGGAGCGAAUCCCAAAAAGCCGGUCUCAGUUCGGAUCGGGGUCUGCAACUCGACCCCGUGAAGUCGGAGUCGCUAGUAAUCGCAGAUCAGCAACGCUGCGGUGAAUACGUUCCCGGGCCUUGUACACAC
rnacentral:rRNA from 1 species